GAUGAACGCUGGCGGCGUGCCUAAUACAUGCAAGUCGAGCUAACAGACGAGGAGCUUGCUCCUUCGACGUUAGCGGCGGACGGGUGAGUAACACGUAGGUAACCUACCUAUAAGACUGGGAUAACUUCGGGAAACCGGAGCUAAUACCGGAUAAUAUUUCGAACCGCAUGGUUCGAUAGUGAAAGAUGGCUUUGCUAUCACUUAUAGAUGGACCUGCGCCGUACUAGCUAGUUGGUAAGGUAACGGCUUACCAAGGCAACGAUACGUAGCCGACCUGAGAGGGUGAUCGGCCACACUGGAACUGAGACACGGUCCAGACUCCUACGGGAGGCAGCAGUAGGGAAUCUUCCGCAAUGGGCGAAAGCCUGACGGAGCAACGCCGCGUGAGUGAUGAAGGUCUUCGGAUCGUAAAACUCUGUUAUUAGGGAAGAACAAACGUGUAAGUAACUGUGCACGUCUUGACGGUACCUAAUCAGAAAGCCACGGCUAACUACGUG
rnacentral:rRNA from 1 species